CGCGUAAAGAACUUGCCUCACAGCUAGGGACAACAUUUGGAAACGAAUGCUAAUACCUAAUAUUAUGAUAAUAGGGCAUCCUAUAAUUAUGAAAGCUAUAAGCGCUGUGAGAGAGCUUUGCGUCCCAUUAGCUAGUUGGAGAGGUAGCGGCUCACCAAGGCGAUGAUGGGUAGCCGGCCUGAGAGGGUGAUCGGCCACAAGGGGACUGAGACACGGCCCUU
rnacentral:rRNA from 1 species